rnacentral:rRNA from 1 species
GAGUUUGAUCCUGGCUCANGAUGAACGCUAGCGGCAGGCCUAACACAUGCAAGUCGAGGGGUAACAUGAAUUGCUUGCAAUUUGAUGACNACCGGCGCACGGGUGCGCACCGCGUAUGGAACCUACCUUUUACAGGGGGAUAGCCCAGGGAAACUUGGAUUAAUACCCCGUAGUACCUUUUGUAGCAUUACAAGAUGGUUAAAGACUUCGGUCGGUAGAAGAUGGCCAUGCGUCCCAUUAGUUAGUUGGUAAGGUAACGGCUUACCAAGACAGCGAUGGGUAGGGGCCCUGAGAGGGGGAUCCCCCACACUGGUACUGAGACACAGACCAGACUCCUACGGGAGGCAGCAGUGAGGAAUAUUGGACAAUGGAGGAGACUCUGAUCCAGCCAUGCCGCGUGCAGGAAGAAUGCCCUAUGGGUAGUAAACUGCUUUUAUACGGGAAGAAAAAGGGGUACGUGUACCCCACUGACGGUACCGUAAGAAUAAGGACCGGCUAACUCCGUGCCAGCAGCCGCGGUAAUACGGAGGGUCCGAGCGUUAUCCGGAAUUAUUGGGUUUAAAGGGUCCGUAGGCGGGCGAUUAAGUCAGUGGUGAAAGUCUGCAGCUCAACUGUAGAACUGCCUUUGAUACUGAUCGUCUUGAGUUAUAGUGAAGUUGCCGGAAUAUGUAGUGUAGCGGUGAAAUGCAUAGAUAUUACAUAGAACACCGAUUGCGAAGGCAGGUGACUAACUAUAUACUGACGCUGAUG